UUUCACGGUUUUUUCCCCUCCCUCUUCUAGACCUUGGCCAUGGGAUUCAUGAUAGGCACCGUUGCUAGGUGGAUGUCACAAGCUGUCUGGGUUUUUUCUGUAUCCUGGCCAUUAUCCUUUCUGUGACUGGUAUCUUCGCUGUCAUCAUCCUGGCCCUCAAUUAUAUAUACUGGCUUCACAUGCUGUAUGCAGCUGUUUCUGCCAUUGCCUUCACCCUGGUUAGUGGAGCGUUACUUACUCAAGAAUUAACUAAGGGCNUACAGU
rnacentral:lncRNA from 1 species